rnacentral:rRNA from 1 species
ACCGGCGGCUCGAGUGGUGGCCACUAUUACUGGGCUUAAAGCGUUCGUAGCUGGCUUGUUAAGUCUCUGGGGAAAUCUUCCGGCUCAACCGGAAGGCGUCUCAGGGAUACUGGCAGGCUAGGGACCGGAAGAGGUGAGAGGUACUCCAGGGGUAGGAGUGAAAUCCGGUGAUCCUUGGGGGGCGACCUGUGGGGAGGGCGUCUCACCAGGACGGCUCCGACAGUGAGGAACGAAAGCUGGGGGAGCAAGGCG